rnacentral:rRNA from 1 species
UACGAGGGGUGCAAGCGUUGCUCGGAAUUAUUGGGCGUAAAGGGUAGGUAGGUGGUCUCAUUUGUCUGGGGUGAAAGCCUUGAGCUUAACUCAAGAAGUGCCCCAGAAACGGUGAGACUGGAGUCCUGGAGAGGGUCGUGGAAUUCCCGGUGUAGCGGUGAAAUGCGUAGAGAUCGGGAGGAACACCAGAGGCGAAAGCGGCGACCUGGACAGGCACUGACACUCAACUACGAAAGCGUGGGGAGCAAACAGG